GUCACUGCAGUAGUUCGCUUGUGAGGGGAAAGUCGGUGGGGAAAUCGAUCAAUUUAUCCAUUCAAUCAUGAGGUCGUAACUCGUGUGCCAACAGGCGCCAACUAGCCCUGAGAUUGAAUGGAUUUGAUUGAUACCUUGACUUUUCAACGCAAGCGACUUGCACCAAACCGUUCCGUAGGUGAACCUGCGGAAGGAUCAUU
rnacentral:rRNA from 1 species